CAAUAGCGUAUAUUAAAGUUGUUGCGGUUAAAAAGCUCGUAGUUGGAUUUCUGCUGAGAACGACCGGUCCGCCCUUUGGGUGUGUAUCUGGCUCUUUCUUGGCAUCUUCUUGGUGAACGUUGCUGCACUUGACUGUGUGGAGCGCUACCCAGGACUUUUACUUUGGGGAAAUUAGAGUGUUUCAAGCAGGCAUACGCCUUGAAUACAUUAGCAUGGAAUAAUAAGAUAGGACCUCGGUUCUAUUUUGUUGGUUUCUAGAGCUGAGGUAAUGAUUAAUAGGGAUAGUUGGGGGCAUUCGUAUUUAACUGUCAGAGGUGAAAUUCUUGGACUUGUUAAAGACGGACUACUGCGAAAGCAUUUGCCAAGGAUGUUUUCAUUGA
rnacentral:rRNA from 1 species